GGCAUGCCUAACACAUGCAAGUCGAACGGUAACAGGUCUUCGGAUGCUGACGAGUGGCGCACGGGUGAGUAACGCGUGGAUAUCUACCUAUUAGUGGGGGACAACUUUCGGAAACGGAAGCUAAUACCGCAUAAUCUCUACGGAGGAAAGCAGGGGACCUUUCGGGGCYUUGUGCUGAUAGAUGAGUCCGCGUCUGAUKAGCUAGUUGGUAGGGUAAAAGCCUACCAAGGCGAUGAUCAGUAGCUGGUUUGAGAGGAUGAUCAGCCACACUGGAACUGAGACACGGUCCAGACUCCUACGGGAGGCAGCAGUGGGGAAUUUUGCACAAUGGGGGAAACCCUGAUGCAGCGAUGCCGCGUGUGGGAAGAAGGCUUUCGAGUUGUAAACCACUUUCAAUUGGGAAGAAGGGAUGAGUGUUAAUAACACUCUGACUUGACGGUACCUUUAGAAGAAGCACCGGCUAAUUUCGUGCCAGCAGCCGCGGUAAUACGAAAGGUGCAAGCGUUGUUCGGAUUUACUGGGCGUAAAGAGAUCGUAGGUGGUUUGAUAAGUUGGAUGUGAAAUCCCGGGGCUCAACCUCGGAACUGCAUCCAAAACUGUCAGACUUGAGUUCGGGAGGGGUAAGCGGAAUUCCGUGUGUAGCAGUGAAAUGCGUAGAUAUACGGAGGAACACCUGAGGCGAASGCGGCUUACUGGACCGAUACUGACACUGAGGAUCGAAAGCGUGGGUAGCAAACAGGAUUAGAUACCCUGGUAGUCCACGCCCUAAACGAUGUCAACUAGCCGUUGCGGGUAUCGACCCCUGCAGUGGCGCAGCUAACGCGAUAAGUUGACCGCCUGGGGAGUACGGUCGCAA
rnacentral:rRNA from 1 species